AUGUCUUUGAUCAGCCAGCACUAUUAUGGUUGCCUUUUCCAUGAGCUUCUGGCAUUUCAAAUUGCUGACCGGCAUCCACAGCAGGAGGAUGCUUUAUUGUGUUUUUCAAUGAUUUUGUAUAAUUGUGAGCAAGAGGCACCGGCAGAAGUGAUACCUCAUCAGAUGAUAGGAUUUUCUGAUCCAGCUAUGUCUACUGUAAAGGCAGCUGAAACUUUCAUUCAUGAUUCAAAUGAAUCAGUGUCACUCAUAUGGAUUUAG
rnacentral:rRNA from 1 species